rnacentral:rRNA from 1 species
UUCGCCACCGGUGUUCCUCCAGAUAUCUACGCAUUUCACCGCUACACCUGGAAUUCCGCAUCCCUCUCCCAAACUCAAGCCAUCCAGUAUCAGACGCAGUUCCCCGGUUAAGCCGAGGGAUUUCACGUCUGACUUAGUUGGCCGCCUACGAGCCCUUUACGCCCAAUAAUUCCGAACAACGCUUGCACCCUCCGUAUUACCGCGGCUGCUGGCACGGAGUUAGCCGGUGCUUCCUCCAAAGGUACUGUCAAGCCAUGCAAUUAUUCACUGCAUGACCUUCGCCCCUUUCGACAGAAGUUUACAACCCGAAGGCCUUCUUCCUUCACGCGGCGUCGCUGGAUCAGGGUUUCCCCCAUUGUCCAAUAUUCCCCACUGCUGCCUCCCGUAGGAGUCUGGGCCGUGUUUCAGUCCCAGUGUGGCUGAUCGUCCUCUCAGACCAGCUACCCGUCAAAGCCUUGGUAGGCCGUUACCCUACCAACUAGCUGAUGGGCCGCAAACUCACCUUAUAGCGCGACCAUAGAUCAGAGGGCCGCUUUCCUGAAAAAUCUUUAUGACUCUUCAGCGUAUGGUGGAUUAGCCAAUCGUUCGACUGGUUGUUCACCUCUAUAAGCUAGAUUAUUUACGUGUUAUGCACCCGUGCGCCACUUUACAAUCGUAUUGCUACGACUUCUCGUGCGACUUGCAUGUGUUAAGCACGCCGCCAGCGUUCGUUCUGAGCCAGGAUCAAACUCU